CAGUAGUGGAGGAAGGUAGAGCUGUGAGGUAAGAUCACAGGACCAUGGAAUGCUGAUUUGAUGCAACUGAAUGACUGAAAAGAGAGGUGAUAUUAAAUGUCCUCAACCCUGAGUUUCCAGAGGCUGACUCAGAAAACCUGAUCCUUCAUCACCUUCUGAAAUGUUAUCUGUGAAGAUGGA
rnacentral:lncRNA from 11 species